UGGGGAAUAUUGCACAAUGGGCGCAAGCCUGAUGCAGCCAUGCCGCGUGUAUGAAGAAGGCCUUCGGGUUGUAAAGUACUUUCAGUCGGGAGGAAGGUGGUAAGGUUAAUAACCUUAUCAAUUGACGUUACCGACAGAAGAAGCACCUGCUAACUCCGUGCCAGCAGCCGCGGUAAUACGGAGGGUGCAAGCGUUAAUCGGAAUUACUGGGCGUAAAGCGCACGCAGGCGGUUUGUUAAGUCAGAUGUGAAAUCCCCGGGCUCAACCUGGGAAGUGCAUCUGAUACUGGCAAGCUUGAGUAUCGUAGAGGGGGGUAGAAUUCCAGGUGUAGCGGUGAAAUGCGUAGAGAUCUGGAGGAAUACCGGUGGCGAAGGCGGCCCCCUGGACAAAGACUGACGAUCAGGUGCGAAAGCGUGGGAAGCAAACAGG
rnacentral:rRNA from 1 species